AUGCGUGGAGGCACUGGACGAAGCCCAUCAGGAGGCAGUCCACCUCAAAGCCCAGGUGGCUCAUCAACCAGCCUGGGAAGCCCACGUGGUGCACAUGAGCUGGCUGGUUCUCCUGUACGUGUAGGAGAAGGAACACCAAUCUCAACUGGUUCAUCUGGUGGACGUACAGCCAGUCCAGGAGUGCUUCAAUCGCCAGAAAUCGGGAGUUUGGCAACUCCAGAUGAUGUAACUUCGUCUUCGACUGUACAGGAGACAAGGGAACGUCCGCCGACACCAGUACGUCUUCGACCAGUGAUGGAUUUAUAUCCAAAGGAAGUGCUUCCAAAAGUAAAUCCUGUGAAAAUUAAAGAAAGAGGACGGCGGUAUCUGCUUAGCGUCGAGGAACCGACGAAAUUUGAAGAUGCAAACACGGAGGAGUGUUGGCGUCGUGCUAUGGACGAGGAGUUGGGAUCGAUCCAAGACAACAAAACAUGGGAGCUCGUGGAUCCACCCAACGACCAUAAAAUCAUAGGGCUCAAGUGGGUGUACAAAGUCAAGAAAGAUGCCGAAGGAAACUUGGUGAAGUAUAAGGCAAGGCUCGUAGCCAAAGGAUACGUGCAAGAGCAAGGUGUAGACUUCGAGGAAGUGUUCGCUCCUGUCACAAGGAUGGAAUCGGUGAGGCUAGUUAUAGCUCUCGCGGCUCAAGAAUCUUGGAAGCUACAUCACAUGGAUGUAAAAUCCGCUUUUUUGAACGGGGAGUUGAAAGAAGAAGUAUAUGUGAAGCAACCACCGGGUUACAUCAAAAAAGGAGAGGAGCACAAGGUGUUGAAACUACACAAGGCAUUGUACGGGCUAUGCCAAGCUCCUCGGGCGUGGAACAUCAAGCUUGAUCGUACACUAGUUUCUCUUGGUUUUGAGAAAAGUCCAUUGAAGCAUGCUAUGUAUAAGCGAGGUAAAGGCAAGGAUCGUCUCCUAGUGGGCAUCUAUGUUGAUGAUCUCUUGAUAACUGGAGCAGAUGAGGAGGAGAUUGCUAGAUUCAAGCUACAAAUGAAGGAGCUUUUCAAGAUGAGUGAUCUAGGGCUCUUGACUUACUAUCUCGGGAUCGAGGUACAUCAAAAGCCGGAGGAAAUCACACUAUGCCAGGAGGCAUAUGCAAAGAAGAUUCUUGAAAGCUGUAGCAUGGAGGACUGCAAUCCAAGUCAUGUUCCAAUGGAGCCUCGACUUAAACUUAGCAAGAGGAGCCAAGCACCCGCGGUUGAUGUAACGGAGUAUAGAAGUGUGGUUGGAAGCCUAAGGUAUCUUGUGAAUACACGACCAGACUUAGCAUAUUCCGUUGGCGUAGUGAGUCGCUUUAUGGAAGCACCCACGACAGAACAUUGGGCAGCUGUGAAACAAAUACUUAGGUACAUCAAAGGGACAAGUAACUUCGGUUGCGUCUAUUUGAGAGAGAAGCGGAAGGAGAUGGUGGAGCUACUUGGCUACAGUGAUAGCGACUUGGCAGGAGAUAUUGACGACCGUAAAAGUACCUCGGGCGUGGCAUAUUUCUUGGGAAGAAGCAUAGUGAGUUGGCUAUCACAAAAGCAGAAGGUGAUCGCAUUAUCAUCCUGUGAAGCAGAGUAUAUUGCAGCUGCAACCGCGGCAGGUCAAGGUGUGUGGCUAGAAAGGCUACUCGGUGACCUCACUGACAAGGAACCGGAAGGAGUGGUGCUCUACGUUGACAACAAGUCCACGAUUGCUCUAUGUAAGAAUCCAGUGCAUCAUGAUAGAAGUAAGCACAUUGAUAUAAUGCAUCACUACAUAAAGGACUGCGUGGAAGAAGGUAAGAUGAAGGUCAACUACGUUUGCACCGAUGAUCAGAUGGCGGAUAUCCUAACCAAGAGUUUGGAUCGAGAGAAGUUCUUGGAGAAGCGAAGAAGGAUCGGCGUCGGAGCGGUCACGUGA
rnacentral:rRNA from 1 species